UCUAGCAUUAUUUUCCAAAGUCCUUCCACUUUUACUGUUACAGACAAUUCUCUUUUAAUGCAAACACUUAUUGAAAAGAUUUAAACUAUAUGAAAAGGAAUUUUUUUCUUGAAAGAAAAGGUCUUAAGAGAUCCAGUUCCAAAUUUUCUUUUCUCAAGGAAAGCGUUUCUAUGAUUUAAGAAUAAGCAUGCCUGUUAAAUUCGCUACAAGUGUCAUCAUUAAAAAAAAAAAAAAAAAAAACUUGUUUAUCUUUUAGAUUCCCAGAAGUUUUCUAUGAGUUCCUGUGGAGAGAGCCUUGUGGAAAGCAAAAACGGCUGUGAUGCAGUUUUUUGAUAUGAGGAUAACAGGAAGCAGCGAGACAAUCAUGCCCAUGAGAACUCUAAACCACUCAGACCAUUUUAUUUUAGUGAAACUGGCAAUUGAACUUUGCUCUAGUUGAUGGGCAAAAUUUCUCCUAGAAUAUUCAUCAUCCCAACUUCAUCCUAGUUU
rnacentral:lncRNA from 1 species